rnacentral:lncRNA from 1 species
AACUUCUCCUAGUAACGUGAGCUUCUCUUGGUAUUUUAGCAUUAAAAAUUUAGUAUAAUUUUUUUCUAGUAAAUGUCUCAUAGUGAGGAUUUUCUAGUGCUAUGACUAGUAGUAGUGUUUUAUUACUAAUUAAAAACACUAAAAAAAACUCUACAAAUCUGGUAGUGAUUGGUGUGAAGUAUGGAAGAUGGACCCACCGCGCACAGGCUAGCAUCUCAUCCCUGC